rnacentral:rRNA from 1 species
CGGGUGAGUAACGCGUGGGUAAUCUACCUUACGGAUUGGGAUAACUCCCCGAAAAGGGGGGCUAAUACCGAAUACGCUUCAGGAAUCGUAAAAGUUUCCUGGAGGAAAGAUGGUGCAAGCUAUCACCGUUGGAGGAGCCUGCGUUCCAUUAGCUUGUUGGUAAGGUAACGGCUUACCAAGGCUACGAUGGAUAGCUGGUCUGAGAGGAUGAUCAGCCACACUGGAACUGAAACACGGUCCAG